rnacentral:rRNA from 1 species
CACGUAGGGUGCGAGCGUUGUCCGGAAUUAUUGGGCGUAAAGAGCUCGUAGGCGGUGUGUCGCGUCGGCCGUGAAAACCUGCAGCUUAACUGUGGGCUUGCAGUGGAUACGGGCAGACUAGAGGCAGGUAGGGGAGAAUGGAAUUCCCGGUGUAGCGGUGAAAUGCGCAGAUAUCGGGAGGAACACCGGUGGCGAAGGCGGUUCUCUGGGCCUGACCUGACGCUGAGGAGCGAAAGCGUGGGGAGCGAACAGG